AAUGUUACGGACACCGAAUUUUACUCUAAACUUCAAUUUGUGCUGUAUUGGCCAUUCUCAAAGAGAAUGUUACACCCCUGCACCACGGUGAGGUUACAGCACACGCAGGGGCCAAGGGAGAGAAUGCUGUUUGCAAGAUUAAAGACGCCCUGUACCAGAAAUGUGAACUGAAAGACAUUUUACCAAAUUUCAAUGUGCAACAUUAUCGAGAAGAGGUACGUGUAAAUGGAAUGACCACUUCAAAUGAAGCCAAAAAAGAGAAACCCUCUAGAUUUUCAGGAAUAGCCUGGGUUAUCCCUGGUCUGUCUCUGUAUCAACGUCAACAUCUGAUAAACAUGGGAGCACAAGUAAGAAUAAUAAUUAUGUUUAUCCAACGUACGUAAACUUACAUCUCAAGGAAGAGUCAUUAAA